rnacentral:rRNA from 1 species
CACCGCGGUUAUACGAGAGGCCCUAGUUGAUUCACUCGGCGUAAAGAGUGGUUAUGGAGAACUAAAUACUAAAGCCGAAGACCCCUUAGGCCGUCAUACGCACCUAGGGGUUCGAAUUAUAUACACGAAAGUAGCUUUACCCUUUCCCACCAGAACCCACGACAGCCGGGACACAAACUGGGAUUAGAUACCCCACUAUGCCCCGCCGUAAACUUAGAUAUUCCAGUACAAUAAAUAUCCGCCAGGGGACUACGAGCGCCAGCUUAAAACCCAAAGGACUUGGCGGUGCUUCAGACCCCCCUAGAGGAGCCUGUUCUAGAACCGAUAACCCCCGUUCAACCUCACUACUCCUUGCUUUUCCCGCCUAUAUACCACCGUCGCCAGCUUACCCUGUGAAGGUACUACAGUAAGCAGAAUGAGUAAUACUCAAAACGUCAGGUCGAGGUGUAGCGUACGAAGUAGGAAGAAAUGGGCUACAUUAUCUGAUCCAGAUUAUUCACGGAAGGUUGCCUGAAAGGACAACCCGAAGGUGGAUUUAGCAGUAAAGGGGGAAUAGAGUGCCCCCUUGAAGCCGGCUCUGAAGCGCGCACACACCGCCCGUCACUCUCCCCAACAACCGCCUACACCAAAGUAAGUUAACACAAUAUCAGUCACAAGGGGAGGCAAGUCGUAACAUGGUAAGUG